GGGGAGCACCUUUGUGGAUGUUCUCAUCCUGCCAAACACACGGUUCCUGCCCCUCGGAGGUGCUCAGGCAGGGUCUCUUUUCCAUUCACCCCCUUGCAGGCUGUGCUUGCUUGGUGGGGCUGUGCCAGAGCAGGUGGCAGAGCCCUGUAUCCAGAGCCUCUCCCAGGGCAGAGCUGCACAUCCCUGUGAUCUGGAGCACGAUUGCCUCCCACCCCAAGCCCCAGGGGAGCAAGAACCACUUUCCUGCCGUGGGUGCUUGGGCAGCCCGUCAGGGAGGGUUCUGUGGGGGCAGCCCACCCUGAGAAGGGCUCAGGGUGCCCAUGGUGGGAGAGGGGAUCCUGCCAGAGGAGCUGCUGGUUUGCUAGAAGCCUUCUCCUAAAUAUGGACAUGAUUAUUUUUAAUUUUUAUUUGCUUGCUCUGGAAUCCUUUGCAUUUUCCCCUUUAUCCUGGAGAAAAAUCAGUGGUGCCCUGUGUGCAUGUGACAUGGCUGUGCACAAACUCCCUUUGUGACUUCUUUCUUUCGCGGGAGAGAAACACAUUCAGGAAAAGCAGGGCCCUGACAACAGGAAUCAAGUGUUUCUAAAUAUGGACAUCCUUUUUUGGACUAAAAAGUCUUUUUGUACCAUGCAUAUUUCCCCUGUUAAUCAUUUCCUUUUGUUCCUUGCAAACUUGGGUCCUCCAAUGUUAUAGAAGGAAUUAUAGCUGUUCUGUUUGUAAACUUUUGUUAUGAUCCAUGAGCUGCCUUGUACGUUGCACUGAUUUGCUGGGUUUUCUUUUUAAUGUGGUUGGAAAGGCCAGCACUCUGGUUUACUCACCCUAGGCUUUCCCUUUUUUUUUUUAAACAGUCAUAUUUGGCCUAAGCCCAUCUCGAAAUAUUGGGGAUUUUACAGGCCAUUGAGCUUUGCCUGGUCCUAUUCACUGCUUUUGUGUUGCACUAAUUGGCUUGAUAAAGAAGGGCCUGGGCUCUGUGGAGUGCUUCUCCUCCAAGGUGAAAUGUGAGAUGGAGGAGGAAAUAUUCAGAUGUUCACUAGCAGUUAUGCUCGCUGGAUAAUCUGAAUGCAUCAGAAAUGAGCUAGAGCUCAGACAAAGUAGGGGAUUAGGAGUCUGAGAUGGGCGAGCGGGUGGACAUCUGGAAGCCUGCUGUUUAGCUCGUCUGCUGGGGUGGGUUGUGUCUUCAUAAUGUGGGUUAUAGGCAGGGAAGAUGAACAGCACGGUGGCUCUCUGUGGAUGUAUUCCAAAAUAACAAUCACUGUUGUUAUUUGCGGGGGACCCCACCCUCCCCAGCAGAGCUCCGUGUGUCCCAGCUCCCCUCUUAUGCGGGAGGGACAUGCUCUGCUGUGAUGGCACUGUUUGCAUGCCCCACCUCUGCUGCUGCCCCGAGGUUUGGGGGAGCCUCAUGCAUCCCCGUGGCUGGUGAUGCACAGCAGAUGCUCAGGGCCUUGCUUGCACGGUGCCCACUGUGAUUUUGGGCAGGGGCAGCUCUGCAGAGCCCAGCAGAAAAGCAGAUGAUGGGAGAGGAGGAGAAAACCCAGCUCGGGGCUUCUGAACCUUCCCGUGUGCAGAGCCCGGCGCUCCCAAAGCUGAGCCCAUUGUGGCAGUGCAGGGCUGCCCCUGCCCCGGCAGCAUCUGCCCUGGAGCUCUGUCUGCCCGGGCCAGCUCCACUUGCUCCAUCCCUCUUCCAUCCCAGCCCCUCAUCCUGCAGGCACAAGGUUCAUGGCUUGGUCAUCACAGUGUGGAUGGACCAGGGUCUUCCUCAUUUGAUGAUGAAAUAGGAGUUGAAAAAUCCUUCGGCUUUUUUGAAAACAAAUAUUGGAGAAGGAAUUACAAAUAUGUUGUGAACAGAAAUAACUGAAUUGUGGUUUGGUUUGUUUUUUCCUAAACAGUAAUUUCUUUCCCAGCCUCUCUGCAUGUGCUCCCUUUCUGCUUCUCUGUCUCCAGCACCUUGCUCAUGUUUCCAUCCUUUUCCUGCAUGCCCUGCCUUGGCAGUUCAAUUUUGGCCUCAGCUGUGGCAUACCCAAACGUGGCUGUGCACAGCUGGAGCCUCGCAGUGCUCCCAGCACACAUCCACUGCUGCUGGAGCAGCAUUGUGCCUUCCACAGGUGGAGGCAUCACCCUGAGCCAGCCAGCACUGGCAGGUUUCUUGUUCAGGGAGCAGUGAAAUUCCCACCCUGUUCUGGCACUGCUGGACUCCAUGUCCCAGGGAAUUAAAGCAGGACUGAGGAGUGAGCCAGUGUGUGGCAGUGUCACUGAGAGUUCUGACUCAGCAACGUGUGAAAGGUUGUGUGAAAGCCCUGCAAAAUUCGUGAUUUGUGGGGGAUGGUCUUGUUUAGCUGUCAGCUACACACACACACACACUAAUCUGACACAGAGGCUCUGGGUACAGCACCAGUGGCCUGUGGCUCCUGCUGUGCUGCCUUGUUUUCUCAUCUUUUUCUGGCAAAACUGCUUUUUUUUUUUGCUUGGGGGAGCAGAGCUGAGUCCCAGUAGGCACUGGCAGCAUUUUUACUUUUUGAGUACUUCUGUGUCCUACUGGGUUGAAAUGUAGUUGUACAUUUUUUCUGCGUAGAAGCUUGGGAGCUUCUGCCGAGGGCGAUUUGGCACUGGGUGGAGUGUGAGCACACAGGUAAAACAGCUCCUUUGCUAGGGCCAUGUAGCAGCAAUCCUGCCUCUUGGUCUGUUGCCAGCAGCACCUUUUGGCUGGGGAAGUGCAAGUCUGGAGAAAUAGAGCAACACUGCUAUGGUCACCCGUGAAACCUCUGGAAAGCUGGAUUCAAAAUUCUCCCUUUUUGUCCCAGGGUGGGAGGAAGCAUGUAUUUUGUCAGAAAAGCAGAGCCAGAAAGGUUUUUUUAUGUGCUGGGGGUCUCUAGGUUAGGAGACUUGCCUGAUUUUACACAUGCUAAAUGCAGUUAAGCAUUGCAGUCCCAAUUCUUCCUCCUCUGCAAUGUAACUUUUCAGGAGUGCUGGCAGCACAAAACACUGAAACUGCUCUAUACCAGGGGGAGAGCCUGAGGGGCUGCCCAGGGGCUUUGGGAUCCCCCAGGGCAGGGACAGGGCACCCUGCAGCUCCCUGACACUCUUCUGGGCUGUCAAAGCCCUCACUGUGAGGUGGAGGAGCCCAGGUUUGGGGGAGGCAGCCCUGAGCCCCGUGUCAGUUCCCUGGGUUUGGUGGGGGAUGCUCCUGCACACAGGAGUGCUGGGAGUUUGCAUUUCCCUCGGCCUCAGCCCUGAAGGAAGCCCAAAGCCUGGGUCAAUAAUAAGCUUAUAAGACAGUAAAUCUUGGUAAUGAGAAAAACAGGAGACGGCAUCUGCUCAGCACAAAGGCGCUGUGUAUGCUCUGGUAAACAGCCACUGAAGGGAGAUGCCUGCUAUGGAAGGGGCUGCAGCUGAACAGCCCAAUUCCCAUGCAGGAUUGGAGGCUUUCACUGCCCCCAGCCCUUCAGAGUGGCUGCUGCUGGAAUCCUGUGGGGGCUGAGCCCAGGCAGGGGUGACCUGUUGCCCAUGAGUGUGUACCACAGGUGCAGCAGCCCCUGCCACAAAAGCAGAGCUGAGCUGCCUUUGUCCUGCACGUGUGGAACUGGAGACAGGCAUGAGGUGGGGCUGCCACAGUGGCUGUCUGCUCCCCUCCUGUGCCCACUCCAGUGCCUCCUUGCAAUGGCUGCACUGGGAGAUGUACAUAAUUCAGAGGGUACCCUGCUGCAAAUAGGGGUUGGAGCAAAAUGGGAAAGAGCUUCUUCUCUUGUCUUUGGAGGUGCCAAAUGAGAUGAACUGAUGGGCAACAGGCACCUGGGGAUGAAUGAGUUGUGCAGGGGGCAUCAGGAAAAAGAAGAGGCUGGGUCUUCACCUGAUACUCAUUCACCUGAGGAGCCUUCUGCCCAGGGUGGGAGCUGGCAGUGGUCCCACUCCUGCUCCAGCUGUGUGAAGCAGGUCUGCAAAAUGGGGAGGAGGAGGAGAAGGGGGGAGUUAAGGGGAAGAAAUCUGCAUAUGGUGUGUAAUGCGUUUAUGAAUUGGGUCUUUAAUAAUUUACAUUACCAGUUUAAUACUUUGAAUACAAAUUAUCUUGCCCAUAUGCUGUGCUGACAAACAUAAAAAUGGAGUAAUCAAAGCUGUAAUAGCACUACAGCAAAAAGACAUAAAAUGCCACUAGAAGGCUUAGGAUAAAUUAUUGCAUGCACACACCAGCUCUAUGGCUCCCUGGUGCCAAAGGAUGCAUUGCAAUUUCUUCCUCAGACUUUGCAUUUAGGCUUGAGGACUGAUGCAGUACCAGGAGUGCUGCUCAAAAUUCUGCAAGACGGGCAGCAUUUAACAAAGAAGAGGAAAGAAAAAAAGGCUCAGACUUGUUUGAUAAACACCGCAAUUUAAAUUCUGCUCUGGCAUUCCAUGGGCUGCCAAGAAAAUAUAGCCCUCUUAUUUGUAGGGAGCCCCUUUCUCCCUCCAGCAGGGUUAUUUGCAUGUAUUAUAAACUGCAGUGCUGGCUUGCCAUCUUCAGGCAGCUGCCACACACUGCACAGCAUCCCUGUGCAUCCUUGUCCAUCCCUGUGGUGGGUGCAGCCUGGGUCCACGAGGGAUACCCAAGGGAAGAUGCACCAGGUGACCCAGGCAAAGGGCAGCACUCAGUCCAGGCAAAACCACAAAUUUCACCUGAUCCCUCUUCCCACCUGAACGUGCUUCCCUCUAAUGCCUGAGCUCUGAGGGGCUGGAGGAGGUGGGAGAGGAUGAAACAGCCCUGGGCCCUUGGUGCUGCCUCUGGGCCACUCCUGGGCUGCAGUUUAGGUACAAGGGAGCAGCCUGGGAGGCCUUGGGAGCUGAUGGAUGCUGCAGAUGACUUAGUGUUUGUUUUUAGCAGUCUUUAGGUGCUCGUGUGUGUGUGUGUACUGGGCACAGGGUUCUGCAGCAAAAGGAGCAGGUUUGCAGAGCAGAGAUGCAAGUUGUGCUCACAGGGAGCAGCUGCACUUGGAAAUGGCAGCAGACCUUGUGUUGCACCUUGUGGCAGAGCCUCUGCUUUUAAAUACCAGGCUGUUCACUGGUGCCACAUCUCCAGCACAUCCCAGCCACAGGCAGUCUCUCACAGAAAGAGCCGUUGAAGGCUCACAUUUGCAUACACUGAGUUUCUCAGCUAUCAGGGUUACUCCAUGCUGUAAUCCAUUCUGUGCUUCUAAUACGAUCAGUGAAAAAUGAGGCUUCUUCCCAAAUAAAUCAUCACCAAUGAAGGAAAUGGUGGUUUUUCCACAAGGCCUGAGGCUCCUGCAGUAGCAAUUUGCUUUUUCCAAAAGGCAGAGAACUCUGGGCAGGCUCAUUCUGUGCUGCAUGAGCUCACUGCCAGUCUCCCCAAGAUCUAAGCCCUUUGCAUAUGAAUGAGUUUUCCCUGCCUUUGCCUCUCCCAGGAUCUGCUGCUGUCUGUCUCCCUGGAAUGUGGUGCCAGCAGCUCGGGAAUAGUGCACCCAUCGGCUGGGGUAGCCCCUCUUUGUCUCAUCCAUUAUUCCAUGCACCUCCCUCUCACAUGCUAAGGGAAGAGGAGUGAAUGCCAGUGUUUGGUAUCCUGUAUCCUGGCAAGGUGGGUGCUCAGGGCUGCAAAAAGUGAGAGAGAGAGAGAGCACCCUCCCCCUGCCUAGCCUGUCAGCUCCUGUGUUCCACCUUCCUCUGCUCCUUGUCUUCCUCCAAAGCCUGAUUUUGCCUGUGAACAGGGGGUUUUGGAGGAGCCCCACUCUAUCCCCUGGCUCUGGGGAGCAACCACAUGACAGAGCAGACCUGUCAUUGCAGCCAAAAGCCCUCAGUGCAAAGAGGCAAGCAGAGCUUUUCCUGCCAGGGGUGAUGGGACCUCUCUGGGUGGGGAAAGGUACCUGUGUGAGUCAGGACGGGGAGAAACAGGUGGGCAUCCAGCCCCCACUGAAAGAACUUUUCCCAUUGCCAGAUCUGCAGAAUAAGGCCCUCACUGAUCCUUUUGAUCCACAAAUAAAUUGGAUGGAUCAAGAUCACAAUGAGAAAUAUCCCCAUUCUCAUCCAGAAGGGAUUUUCAGCAUAAAAAGGCUUUAUGUGACUCAUAAACUUUAACAUUUAUUUCUGCACGCGAGGUAAAUAUUUCCCCCUCUGAACGUCUAAGCAAUGCAAUUUUGUUUGAAGCCUCCAUUUGUUUAAGUCUGAAGGUGACAAUAAUUCACCCGUUUUCCCUUCCUGUAUUUUCCCAAGCAGUGGCAUAAGCCAAAAUAGAGCGAACUCAGCUCUGGCUGUUUGUCACCUGUCAGCUCUGUCCCUCAAAUGUGCUCAGACAAGCUUUGUCCUGGAGUUUACAUUUGGGCACCUUCUGACCUCAAGCUGCUGGUAAAUGGCCCCAGGUUCUCCUGUUUAGAGGAAGAAAUACAGCAUACCUGCAUACAGCCACUGCCAGGGCAGGCAGGAAAGAGAGACAUAAUUUAAUCUAACUCCAGAUAAAUCAUGAUUACACAGCGCUCUGCCUGCCACAGGCAGUUGGGAGUCCCAUCUCCUUGGCACUGUAGCAACACUUGUCAUCCAAUGUCCCAAAGAGACCCACUCAUGGCCAGAGAUCACAGAUGACUGAGAAGAUGCCUGGAGUUGUAAACAUCAUCAAUCUGGAGAAAAACAAACACUGCUGGGAGCUGAUGUCAGAUGGGGAUGUUCCAAGUCAGCACUCGUCUCUUCAGAGCACAGGAUGUGCACAUGGGCUGCACAGACCCCCACCUCACACCCCCCAGGUCUGGUACCUCCUGAAGCUCCAGCAGAUCCAGGGAGACAAAGUGCUGUCUGUCCUUCCCUGGAAGAGCUUGGGUCCCCAGGUUUUGGAGGCUGUAGUCCCCCAGGCAGCCUCUCAGAGAGGGACCAAGGUAGGAGUGAGCAGCUGUGGUGGCCAUGUGGCUGUGUGCAGCUGCUGGGUGCCCUUUGCCACCCUCCAACCUGCUCCUGCCAGACAGGGAGGCUGGUUUGGGACAGGUGUUAAAGUUUUAUUUUGAGUUCCCCACUUACAGGCAGAGCCCCCAGUGUGGGUAGAGCCCCAUGUCCCACGCCAGCUUUCGGAGCAGCUCCCCAUCUCAUCACAGGCAGUAUGUUGGCAGCACAGGUACCUCACUUGGUUUUGUAUCCUUUUUGGUAUCCCUUUGGUGCCUUUCCUGGCUUUGGUGGAGUCACUUCUGAUUUACAGCUGGUGUCACGUGAAAUCUGAAGCAGGUGCUCUCCUUCUGGCCCGCUCCCACCCAGGACUACCCUGUUUCCCCUGCAGCUCCCAGUUUCCCUGUCCUCAAGGACAUGUUCAUGUCCAAGCCUAAAUUCCAUGCUAACAUGCACAGGCUGUUUCUUUAUCAGCCUGCCCUUUUUUUUUCUUUUUUUCCCCCCCUUUUUUUUAAAGGAAACUGAAUCCAAGGCUGCCAUGUAAUGAUGACAUUAUUGUUAGUUAUUUCUAUUUCCAUAGUUCCAAGAGGUAGAGAACAGAGUCCCACUGGGUUAAAUGCAGCACAUGUUAUAACAAAAAGACAGUCUGAGUGCCAAACAACUUGCAAUCUUAUUUUUAAUGUAAGGAAUGUAAAAUUAAGAUUACUAUAGCAACAUCUUGCCCACGUUGAACACAGAUAGGAUUUGUUGGUCUUUAUAAAUAUAUAUGAGUGUGUGUAUGUGUAUAUAUAUGUAAUGUACACAUACAAAUCCUAAAUAUCUCUGGCAACCUUUCCUGUAGUUGAAUUUAUAUUUAAUUUCAAGCUCUCUGUAUUACAAAUCUAAUUUGCAUCCAGCUUUCCUUCAGCAACCUUGCCUUUUCCUUCAGGCUCUUUUGUGCACCCUGCAUGCCAGGCUGGAGUGCCCACUGCCUGGAGCAGGGACAACCUCUGACUGGGGGAGCUAAUCCCAUCUACUGGGGGCUUCAUUUUAACUGUAUACAACCCUGCAAAACCUUAUAACUGACUUUACAUCUCCAAAUUUGCUUUCUUCAAUCAGAUUUUAGGAAAGUGAUGUGAACUUGAGGCAUGCAAAUUCUUCCUUUUUCUUUCCAUUUCUCUUCUCUGAAGUUAUUUGUUCAACUUUCAAUGAAAUUCCUAUGAGGUACAAACCGAAGCUCUCAUUUCUUCCACAUGACUGAUUAAAACCUGGGCCUGGUUUUAUUAGGAAAUGCCUGCAGGAAUGGCAGAGCACAACCGGGACUGAGGAGCUGAGGAAAAGGCAGCAGGAGGAUGGAUGCUCCUACAGCUCAGUGUCACUUAAAUUCUCUAGGAAAGCAGCAGAAAUUCAAGCACUGUUUUCACCUUGUUGCAGAGGUAAGUGGAGUUACUGAUAAAGAAGAACUUUAACAUCACCAGAUCUGAAGAGAGCUGUCUUUGCUUAUGAGCCUACAACUGGGGAGGAGGGGAAAACCAGGCACCAAACUGUGCUCGGGAGAUCUGAAGGAUACCACUCUAUGCCAAAGAAAGACACACUGGAGGGAUGCCCUCUUCUCUCGAGGAGCAGGAGGAACUUGCAGCUCAUUUGUAGCAGCUUUAAGGCUGUGGAGUUGAACGUGCACAGUUGGAGGGUUGGUGGAUCCACUGUUUUGAGACCAGACUGUAAUGGAGAUCUGAGAACCAAAACUGAAAACGUCUGCUGGCAGGUCUGGAUGGAGAAGCUGGAAAGCAGCCUGGAGUUGCCAGCUGCAGAUUUCUGGUGCCUAUGACUUAGCAGAAUUAAAUACAAGGAUUAAAUCACAGGCAGCUCUGCCUGCAGGGUCUAGAAGGAAAGCAAAGGGGCUGGGGUGAGGAGGGUGAGCAACCCCAGUGGGUCUGUGGGGAUGGCAGGAGUGCAAAGGUGAAGAAUGGCUCUGCAGGGCACACAGAGGCCCACUUUCAAAGCCCACCCAGGCAAACACAAUAGCUUUCCUUCAGACAGAACUGCUCUGUGAGCAGGAGUCAAUGCCCUCCUGCAGAGCCUGCAAAAACACUGACAUGUGUAAAUGCAGAGCUGAUGCCCAGAGGAGGUUUCUGGAUGCGGUUAUUGCAGAGAUGGGUGGGACAGAGCAAACACAGCUGGCACUUCACACAUGCAUCGGGUGGUGCUGUGGACCUUACCGUGGCAGGCUGAAGAUCAGACCAGGCAAUGGGGAGUGGGUUGAUGACCAGUGGGAGUUCAUGGGCAAUGAUGUAUUAUAGGGCAGAGCAAAGUGAUUUCUGUAAGAUGGGCACUCAGCUGUUUGCUGCAGGAAAGUUGUUCCUUUGCUUAAUUGUUCCUGACCCUGGGCUGACCCCCAGGCAGAAGAGACAUUGCCACCUCCUUGCCCAAAGGAAGGAGGAAAGGCAGGCUCCAGGGGUCCAGCAGGGCAACGGGGCUGCAAAGCAGGCUCAGGAGGAGUCAGCAAGGUCUGCAGGGCUGAACAAGCCAUCUUCAGGACCACUGGUUGAAAUCCACACACACUUUCUCAUCCUGUUCUCUGGAAUGGGCACCCAGCAGGAAAAGAGUUUGCUCAUGAUGGAAGUUAACCCUGGACUGCCUCAGGUAAGAGCAGCUGCUGUGGGCAGUGUGAGCACCAGUGCUGUGUGCUGGGUAAAGGUUUGUGUGCAGCCUCAGCCCAGAGACCUGGUUGCUCACCUCUUGGAAAUGCUGCAGAGCUUUGCAGGUGUGCUGGAUGGUCCAGUGAAAUCAGAGCUUUUAGUGGGAGUACAGCAAGAGAAGAAAAUCAUUUCCGUUUCCCUGAAGAAUACGGAGUUUCCCAUCUAUGGGCUGCACGUUGCUGAUAAGUACCAAAGUGAUAGCCUGAGGAAAGGGAGUCUCUUCACCGUGGAAAAAGCUUUGGUUGUGGAGUCACCUGUUAACUCCCAGCACACUGCCACCGUGGUUGGCUGCACUUCUGCAGGGGCAGGUAGGUACCACACAUCCCCCUGUGCCAGCCACCAUCACCAUCACCUCUCUGCUUUUUAUUACUCUUGACCUUCCUGUUCCCAUCAGGUGUUUUUAAGCAAGCCUGCCACCAGGGCUGUAAUCGGUUCUCAUGUCCUCCUAUUUAUGCUCUCACCCAGCAAUUUGCACAGGGCUGUCGAGCUCUCUGCUCGUAAUUGACAGGGGAAGGCAAUCUGCUUCAUGAGAGGAAACAUCUCCACGGCUGCUGGAUCUGAGCAGGCUAUUUCCCAUAAUGAGGAUGAAGUAAAACAGGAUCUCACUAACAGCGUGGAUGUAGCUGAGCCCUCAUUACUGCAGGCACAGAGGUGCUGCUUGGGACAUAAUUAAGAGCUCGAAAGUGUCGCACUGUCCUUCCUACACUGCUGCUUCAUAGCAAGAUGCUUACUGCCAAGUGCUCCUGAAAUUUGCUCAAGUCACAAUCAAGCUGCAGGAGGGGCUGCUCCAGGAAAGGGAAAGCUCCUUGUCUUCUUUCCUAAGGCAGUUGUUUCUCUCCUUGCAGAGGACAGCCAUGGAAUUUCAGCCUCAGCACUGGAAAGCAACUGCCAAUGGCAAUGGCUUGUGCCUUCCCCAGCAGGAGAAGCAGCUUGAACGUGGUGUGGGCAGAAUGCUUGCAGCAUCUUGAGACCUGCAGCAAGACUGGUUCCAACCACGGGAUGCUGCCCAGUGUAGCUGGUGGUGAGAGCUACCACAAAACCCAGCACGUGUCCCCAGGGAUGCAGGGCUGGGUUUGAGGCACUGAUGAUGCUGCAGGAAGAAGCCUGAGUUUCUUCACACAUAUUUAUUUGCCAGCAGAGACUGUACAAAUCCCAUGCAUAAUUCAGCUGCUGCCAUACAAAUCAUCCCACCAGUAAAAGCCUUUUCAGAAAGCACGAUUUGAUUGCAACAAACUUUCACCCAAAUGUGCUGCAGCCCUGUAUGACAGGUUUUAAACUUUUGCCGUCACUUCCUUCCGAGAGGCAGAGUGAAUCUAGGUCAGCCUCCCCCUUGCUGGUUUGUAAUGAGGCUAAUUCUGAUUUCAUUCAUGUUGCAUCCUCGAGUUUGAGAUGGGGGGGGAAAUGGGAUAUUUGAAAAGGCAAGUCAGCCUCAAAGUCAUUCUUCUUAUAUCUCAUCUUGGAGCAAAGGAAGUGGCUUGAUGUUGCAUCCCAAGGCAACAUUGAUGGUGUCAUUUAUUAUUCAGGGUGCAAAAGGAAUACAGAGUUUCCUUCUUUCCCUUUUUAUUUAGAUUGCAGCGUUAAGCUGGGCUGAAUGAACAGGCCUGUGUCCGCAGCUCUGGUGGUGAUUAACAGCCAGGGCUGUUGUGGGCCAGCGGGCUGCGCGCCGUGUCGGGCUGCUGCUCGGGGACAAAGAGGGGAAGUGGCUGAACACGGGGUUAUUCAUUUGUCUGGAGUUCCUAGGCAAGCAUGACAGCAUAAAUAGAGCUGCUUGUUUGUUGAUCUCCUCUGCCAUGGCAGCUGAGGGCAAGCUGCUGCAUUCAUCCGUUCACUGCUGAAGCAGCCAGUGCUGCUUUCCCAGGACUGGCACUUUCACCCUGUGCACAGUACAGCCGUGCUGCCUCUCUGUGUUUCUCUCUGGACCAGAGAAAAGUUUGGGAGAGAGGAACGACUGCUGUAUGUGUUUGGCUGCAGAACUGCAGGUGGGCAGUAGUGAUUCCCCUGUAGGUACUGGUUUGGAAAUAACUCUGCCUCCUGGCCACGUGCUGGAUUUUAGGGCAGGAUCGAAAUAAGGGGUAUGGGUGGGAGAAGGUGUUUGCCCUUAUUUUUAUGCUAAUAGUCAUAAUGCAUUGUUGUUUUGAUUUUUUAAGAUUUUCUAAGUUUUUUGAUGUUUACAUUCUUGUAACGCAUUUUCUCACAUACUUUCUGCAAAUAACUUAUUGUUUUGCAUUCUUUUAUAGAAGAGAAAUUUUAUGAACUGUUAGUUUGUCCAGUGUCAUUGGAGAGGUGGCACUUUCACCCUCCAAUCCACUGUCACUUUUAGAAAUCUAUAACUGUUAGAAUAAAAAAAUAAACUUCCCUUUUUACCUUAAAAGCA